UAAGGAUGGUAAGGGCGGACGGUGGAUCCCUCGGCAGCCGGAGGCGAUGAAGGGCGUGGCCAGCUGCGAUAAGCCCCGGGGAGCCGCUGAGCAGGCGAUGAUCCGGGGAUUCCCGAAUGGGGAAACCCACCGUACCGUUGAGGUACGGUAUCCGCCGCCGAAACACAAGUAGGCGGCGGAGGCGAACCCCGCGAAGGGAAACAUCCCAGUAGCGGGAGGAAAAGAAAUCAACACCCGUCUCCUUCGGGAGGCGGGCGCGUCCCCCAAAAGGGGACGUGGAGAUUCCCCUAGUAGCGGCGAGCGAACGGGGAACAGCCCAAACCUCACGGGUGUUAAAGCCCGCAGGCGUUGCCCGUGUGGGGUUGCGGGACGGCAACGGGGAGGGCUGCGGACCUCCCAGGGAGUUACAAAAGCCUUCUCUAGCCGAACGGCCUGCAAAGUCGCUGGAAAGGGCGGCCGGAGAGGGUGAAAGCCCCGUAGGCGAAAGGGAAGGCUCUCCCGGGUUGCCGCUCCCAAGUAGCGUCGGACACGUGAAAUCCGGCGUGAAUCUGGGGGGCCCACCCUCCAAGGCUAAAUACUCCCGGCUGACCGAUAGCGCACCAGUACCGUGAGGGAAAGGUGAAAAGAACCCCGGGAGGGGAGUGAAAUAGAACGUGAAACCGUCCGCUCACAGGCAGUAGGAGCCUGGAGGCCUUGGCCCUUCGGGGCCCUGGCCGAAGGGUGACUGCAUGCCUUUUGCAGUAUGAGCCGGCGAGUUAUGGUCCGUGGCGAGGCUAAGCGGGUCUCCCGCGGAGCCGUAGCGAAAGCGAGUCCGAACAGGGCGUCCAGUCACGGGCCAUAGACCCGAAGCCAGGCGAUCUACCCGUGGGCAGGGUGAAGGCGGGGUAAGACCCGCCGGAGGCCCGAACCCAUUGGACGUGCAAUUCCAUGGGAUGACCUGCGGGUAGCGGUGAAAUGCCAAUCGAGCCUGGUGAUAGCUGGCUCUCCCCGAAAUGGCUCUAGGGUCAGCCUCACGGCUCAGGCGGCCGGGGGUAGAGCACUGGAUGGGGAAGGGGGGAAACUCCCGACUCCAACCAAACUCCGAAUACCGGCCGUCGGUCCGUGGGAGUGAGUCCGUGGGGGAUAACCUCCACGGUCGAGAGGGGAACAACCCAGACCGCCGGCUAAGGCCCCAAAAUCCGGGCUAAGUGGGGAAGGCGGUGUGGCCGCUAAAACAGCUGGGAGGUUGGCUUAGAAGCAGCCAUCCUUUAAAGAGUGCGUAACAGCUCACCAGUCUAGCGGCCGCGCGCCGAAAAUGUAACGGGGCUAAGCCCGGUGCCGAAGCCGCGGGCUUUCGCGAGGGUAUCCUCGUGGGAGCGGUAGGGGAGCGUUCCCAGCGGGGCGAAGCCGCGUCGCGAGGCGCGGUGGACUGCUGGGAAGUGAGAAUGCCGGCAUGAGUAGCGAGAGGCGGGUGAGAAUCCCGCCCCCCGGAUGCCCAAGGUUUCCUGGGGAAGGCUCGUCCGCCCAGGGUUAGGCGGGACCUAAGGUGAACCCGAAAGGGGUAGCCGAUGGGCAGCCGGUUAAUAUUCCGGCCCCUCCGGGUCCGCGCUACGAGCGAAGGGGUGACGCCGCAGGACUAUCCCCGCGGGCUUACGGCUAUGCCCGUCCAAGCGUCAAGCCAGGGGGAGGAGGCAAAUCCCCUCCCCCGCUACGGCGAGGCGUGAUGGCGAGCCGCUUAACGCGGCGAAGGGGGAUGGGUUCAGCGGCCGAGAAAAGCCUCUAGCCAGUGGGCCCGGAGCCCGUACCGCAAACCGACACAGGUGGGCGAGGGGAGUACCCACAGGGGGGCGAGAUAACCCCGGUCAAGGAACUCGGCAAAUUGCCCCCGUAACCUCGGGAGAAGGGGGGCCCUCGCCGUGGCCAGGGAUUCUCUUGGCUGCGGUUGGGGGCCGCAGAGAAUCGGCCCAGGCGACUGUUUACCAAAAACACAGGUCCCUGCUAACCCGUAAGGGGACGUAUAGGGGCUGAAACCUGGCCACUGCCGGUAGGUCAAGGGGAGGGGUGCAAGCCCCGAACCGAAGCCCCGGUGAAGGCCGGCCGUAACUAUAACGGUCCUAAGGUAGCGAAGUACCUUGUCGGGUAAGCC
rnacentral:rRNA from 1 species